UAGCGUAAUCAAUAGCCAAUUAAUUGUUGGCCGGUAUGAAUGGCGUCACGAAGGCCCCACUGUCUUAAGAGGACUCUCCAUGAAAUUGAAUUCGUAGUGAAGAUGCUACGUCCAUAUUGUAAGACGAAAAGACCCCAUUGAGCUUUACUAAAGACUUGCAUGGCUCAAAAGAAUUUGAUUUAAAUAAAAAGUUUAGAUAAUGUGGGAUCCGUUUCCGGUUAAUGAAACACCACUCUUUUAUUUUAAGAGAGCUAACAUUACAGGGAUAGUGUAAGUUGGAUAGUUUGGUUGGGGCGACCACCUUUUAAAAGGUAACGAAGGUGAGCUUAAGGUCCGUAGUUAAUAGCCGGUGGCCUGACUGCAAGGGGGACGUCUCGAGCAGACACGUCCUUAGGGAUGUGGACUAUAGUGACCCGUC
rnacentral:rRNA from 1 species